UACGUAGGGUGCGAGCGUUGUCCGGAAUUAUUGGGCGUAAAGGGCGCGUAGGUGGCGGCCCAAGUCCAUGGUGAAAGCUCGAUGCUCAACAUCGAGUCGGCCACGGAUACUGGGUUGCUCGAGCACUGUAGGGGCAGAUGGAAUUCCGGGUGUAGCGGUGGAAUGCGUAGAGAUCCGGAAGAACACCGGUGGCGAAGGCGGUCUGCUGGGCAGUUGCUGACACUGAGGCGCGACAGCGUGGGGAGCAAACAGG
rnacentral:rRNA from 1 species